UACUACAUGAAUGAAAGGAUAAUAAUAAUAAUAAUUCAAAUUUAGUUCGACUUUAAAAUCGCCGCACUGAUGGAGCCAAGAAAGAAGAAACCAGCCAACGAAAAAGGAAGUACUCUAAUGACUACAAUUAGCCGUGAAAAUCGCCAAGCUCUCCCUGCUACUUUGGAUUAUCGCAAGCAUAAAUGUAUGGCACCAAUUCGAAACCAAGCAGCGUGUGGAAGCUGCUGGUCCUUUGCUGCCAUAUAUCCACUCGAGUUCUCUGCUUGAGGUUCUAUGCUAUUUUGGACUUUUGGUCGUGGGUGUUUGUAGCUUUAACCCUGGGUGAAUUUCAUUUGAAAUACAUUUAAUCA